UUUGAUAUAAAUACGAGUUAAAACUUUUUUCUUUUUCAACUAACAACACCGUGAUGUCCACCUGCCUCUAUAAACAACUAACCAAACCUUCCUAACCAAACCCUCCAUCCCACCUCUCUCUUUCUCUCUCUCUCUCUUAGACUGUUCCUUUGUGUUAGGGCUCUUGAUCAUGAGAUGCCACCCUUUUGCCACCAUCUCUGGUGGCAAAGGGGUGGCAGCUCAAGACGGAUUUAGCCCAUUUGUCUGGAGGAACUGUUGACAAAUUAUUGUUAGAGGCCAUAGAGCUGAUGCUGCUUUUAUCUUAAUCCCACGGUAUGGGAAAGAGCAGAAGAAUUUGAUCCUGAAAGAUUCGACUUGGAAGGUCCAGUUCCAAACGAAACGAAUACUGACUUUAGAACUUCUCGUUCGAGUUGAUUCCAGAUCAAAAUAUUAGCAUGACUACUGAAUCAACCAUUCAUACGACAAACGGUUUACCUAUGAAUGUGAAGCAAAGGCAAAAAAAAUCUGUUUUGGCUGCAGCUCUGUAAAUUUUGUCACAAGAGAAAAAUUAUCUUGAUUCUUUAGAUAAACUGGACAAAAUUGAAUAACAUUUAUAUAUAUCUUUCAAAUAUUUAUAUCAAAAUGUAAGGUCACAACAGUAAAGGAAUCAUGUUCUUACUCGACGAUAACUGGAAAAAGACUACGAGAAUGUGUAUUGAUGAUUGCCAAGACAAAAAUCAUUAUUAGAAUUAUCAGUAUUGCAUAAUA